CCGAGUUUAUAACUCCCAAACCCCUGUGAACAUACCACUUGUUGCCUCGGCGGAUCAGCCCGCUCCCGGUAAAACGGGACGGCCCGCCAGAGGACCCCUAAACUCUGUUUCUAUAUGUAACUUCUGAGUAAAACCAUAAAUAAAUCA
rnacentral:misc_RNA from 1 species